rnacentral:rRNA from 1 species
AUCGAACGCUGGCGGCAGGCUUAACACAUGCAAGUCGAGCGAGCGGCGGACGGGUGAGUAAUGUCUGGGAAACUGCCAGAUGGAGGGGGAUAACUACUGGAAACGGUAGCUAAUACCGCAUACCAUCAGAUGUGCCCAGAUGGGAUUAGCGAGUAGGUGGGGUAAUGGCUCACCUAGGCGACUAUCCCUAGCCGGUCUGAGAGGAUGACCAGCCCCACUGGAACUGUGACACGGUCCCGCCUCCUACGGGAGGCAGCCGUGGGGAAUAUUGCACAAUGGGCGCAAGCCUGAUGCAGCCAUGCCGCGUAUGUGAAGACGGCCUUCGAGUUGUAAAGCACUUUCAGCGAGGAGGCGUUACUCGCAGAAGAAGCACCGGCUAACUCCGUGCCAGCAGCCGCGGUAAUUC